UUAUGGCCAUAUCAUGUUGAAACACCAGUUCUCAUCUAGUCACUGAAGCUAAGCAAUGUAGACCUGGUUAGUACCUAGAUGGGUGACCGCUUGAGAAUACCAGGUGCUGUAAG